ensembl:lncRNA
ACUUUUCUGAAUCUCGGGCAGAUGAACUUCCCUGAAGUGUUUCCAGCUGGGCGUCGAGUGUUUGACCGACGCAUGAAACGACACGUUUGUGAGUAUUUGUGAGUAUUUAUCACACGGCGUGCUGCGGGGAAAAGCCUGAGAAAUCCCAGAGAAGCUUCCUUCCUGCCAGUAUACGAGCCCACCAACAGAGACAGGACCAGUUCAUCCUCCAUCACUUACUGUGUGCACACGUAGCAAAUGUUAAAGUUCAAAUGGUGGUUUUGUUUGCAGGGACUGUGAGUGGAUGGAGAUCCUGGUCCUCCUCAGCUGUGAGUUCUUCCUCUGUCAUGAGAACCUCAGGGGGAGAACAUGUGCUCACUCUCAGCUGCUUUAACAGGAAAGAAGCUCUUUUAGAUCAAAGCUGAGAAACUGUUUGUAACAGCGAACUCUGUCACCUUUCUCUCCUCAGCCUGCUGCUGGACAGGCCCAUGAAGCUCUGCUGUAAAGGCUUCCAUGUCCCAGGCUUCACCUUUACCUGCUGACCAACGGGAGGCGUGGCCAAAACAGCGAUGGGGAGUGGAGCAGCAGGUAGCAGAGAUGUGCAGCAAACCCAACUGUCCCUGUGUUUUCCUGCUGUAGACAUUAUCCCCAUGAUGCUGACGUCCUCUGGUGGGACGAGCUCACACGUUUAUGGAUUCAGAUGCUAACUGGACCAGACUGGUGUCAACCUUUGUGCUAUAGAAGCAAAUCAAAGAAGAACCAGUUGAACCUGAG